UAUGUCCUGAUGCUUACUACAGGCUGCUUUAUUUAUACUGCCUUGAUAGAAAGAAGAGCCAGAAACUCACCCCAUAGAUACCUCAGCUGAGGCCUUUUUCCUGGUCUGUAAUGUGAAUGGGGGGACAUGG